GCCCGUGUAGUGUAGUUGGUUAUCACUGUGGAUUCAUACGCUUCAUUGCGAAUGCAAAACCCGCCGACUCCAGUUCGAAUCUGGGCACAGGCA